GACGAACGCUGGCGGCGUGCUUAACACAUGCAAGUCGAACGGAAAGGCCCUGCUUUUGUGGGGUGCUCGAGUGGCGAACGGGUGAGUAACACGUGAGUAACCUGCCCUUGACUUUGGGAUAACUUCAGGAAACUGGGGCUAAUACCGGAUAGGAGCUCCUGCUGCAUGGUGGGGGUUGGAAAGUUUCGGCGGUUGGGGAUGGACUCGCGGCUUAUCAGCUUGUUGGUGGGGUAGUGGCUUACCAAGGCUUUGACGGGUAGCCGGCCUGAGAGGGUGACCGGCCACAUUGGGACUGAGAUAUGGCCCAGACUCCAACGGGAGGCAGCAGUGGGGAAUAUUGCACAAUGGGCGGCAGCCUGAUGCAGCAACGCCGCGUGCGGGAUGACGGCCUUCGGGUUGUAAACCGCUUUCGCCUGUGACGAAGCGUGAGUGACGGUAAUGGGUAAAGAAGCACCGGCUAACUACGUG
rnacentral:rRNA from 1 species